UACGGAGGGUGCGAGCGUUAAUCGGAAUAACUGGGCGUAAAGGGCACGCAGGCGGUUAUUUAAGUGAGGUGUGAAAGCCCCGGGCUUAACCUGGGAAUUGCAUUUCAGACUGGGUAACUAGAGUACUUUAGGGAGGGGUAGAAUUCCACGUGUAGCGGUGAAAUGCGUAGAGAUGUGGAGGAAUACCGAAGGCGAAGGCAGCCCCUUGGGAAUGUACUGACGCUCAUGUGCGAAAGCGUGGGGAGCAAACAGG
rnacentral:rRNA from 2 species